UACGUAGGGUGCAAGCGUUGUCCGGAAUUAUUGGGCGUAAAGAGCUCGUAGGCGGUUUGUCGCGUCUGCUGUGAAAUCUUAGGGCUUAACCCUGAGCUUGCAGUGGGUACGGGCAGACUAGAGUGCGGUAGGGGAGACUGGAAUUCCUGGUGUAGCGGUGAAAUGCGCAGAUAUCAGGAGGAACACCGGUGGCGAAGGCGGUUCUCUGGGCAUGUCCUGACGCUGAGGAGCGAAAGUGUGGGGAGCGAACAGG
rnacentral:rRNA from 1 species